CCCGGGGCCCGGAGGGGACAGCGCGACACUCGCACGGCCCUACCCGGGCAUGGACAGCACCGUCCGGAGGGUGGAAGCACAUUUUAAGCAACGUUUUUCAGUGGCACCAUCUGAGAAUUUUGGCAGUGGUGGAGAGAGAUGAGCAGAGAGAUAUCCAAAGCCUCCCUUGGAAUUACAUCCAGUAACUUCCAUUUCCUCCACAAGACUGAACCAACCCUGUGACUACUUGGGGAUGCAUCAUGGCAAAAAAUAGAUGUCUGAAGUUGCCGGCAAGAUCCCAAAAGUGAACAUUCUGUAGGGACAACAUUAAAGCAAGCCCAAGUGAGUAUGAGAAAUCAGAGUAACACACAGAUUUUCUUACAGAGCCAAUUCAGAGCCUGACAUUUCCGCCCACACAGCACAGCUCAGUGACAGGCAAUAAGACACAGCAGCAAUAUGAGCAACAUGAGACUCCA